rnacentral:rRNA from 1 species
AUUGAACGCUGGCGGCAGGCCUAACACAUGCAAGUCGAACGGUAACAGGAAACAGCUUGCUGUUUCGCUGACGAGUGGCGGACGGGUGAGUAAUGUAUGGGAAACUGCCUGAUGGAGGGGGAUAAAUACUGGAAACGGUAGCUAAUACCGCAUAACGUCGCAAGAACAAAGAGGGGGACCUUCGGGCCUCUUGCCAUCGGAUGUGCCCGGAUGGGAUUAGCUAGUAGGUGGGGUAACGGCUCACCUAGGCGACGAUCCCUAGCUGGUCUGAGAGGAUGACCAGCCACACUGGAACGGAGACACGGUCCAGACUCCUACGGGAGGCAGCAGUGGGGAAUAUUGCACAAUGGGCGCAAGCCUGAUGCAGCCAUGCCGCGUGUAUGAAGAAGGCCUUCGGGUUGUAAAGUACUUUCAGCGGGGAGGAAGGGAGUAAAGUUAAUACCUUUGCUCAUUGACGUUACCCGCAGAAGAAGCACCGGCUAACUCCGUGCCAGCCGCCGCCGUAA